CUUAGCUUCAAGUCUGACAACUAUUUCGACAACGUUGACGAUGUAGAUAUGUUUUCUGUUGAUAACAUAAUGAGGAAACUCAGAGAUCCCGUAGAUAAAACAAUUUGGCCUAUAGGAGCUUCCAUAGUUAACGCCUUCUACGACCCAACACAAAAUUCCAUAACGUUUCCAGCUGGCAUUCUCCAGCCACCAUUUUAUGAUAAAGAUUAUCCAAAAUCACUUAUCUAUGGCGGUAUUGGUUUGGUUAUUGGUCAUGAAAUAACACAUGGUUUUGACGACCAAGGUCGACAGUAUGAUAAAGAUGGAAAUUUAUAUUCAUGGUGGACAAAUACAUCAUCCAUUAAAUUUGAUGAAUUGGCACAGUGUAUAAUAGAUCAGUAUUCCAGCUAUAAAUUUGGCCCCGAUUACAUAAAAGGUACAAAUACACAAGGCGAGAAUAUAGCUGAUAAUGGUGGAAUAAAGGCAGCAUUUAAAGCUUAUAAUACAUGGUUAAAAAGUAAUAAUGAAGAAUAUGAUAAAUUGCCAGGUUUAAAUUUGACACACAAUCAACUCUUCUUUAUCAAUUUUGCGCAGGGUUGGUGUGGUAAGAGAACCCCAGAAGCUUUACAUAAUCAGAUAUUGACAGAUCCACACAGUCCAGGCAGAUACAGAAUAAUCGGAACUCUAUCGAACAGUGAAGAUUUUUCAAAGGUGUUUCAGUGUAAACCAAAUUCCACAAUGAAUCCAAAUAAAAAAUGUUCUGUUUGGUAAUUUAUGAACUGCUGUAUAUAAUGUUAAUUUCUUAAAUAUUAUUUUAGAUAUUUACUUAUAUAACUUUUAAUCAACUUUGAUUUUAUUUCGAAGCUUGAAAUCCUUUCGGUUUUAAAACUUCCAUAUAACAUCAUUGGUAUACUGCGCGGUCGCAAAUAAACUUAUAACAAAAAUAAAAUGAAAUGGGGUUUAACGUUCUACUGGUCUGAACUUAGAACAGUUUCAUUUAUACAAGACUCGCCUUUUUAUACGCCCACAUUUUCAUGUGGACGUAUAUUGUCGUCGCCCCUGUCCGUCCGGAUGUCCACAAUUUGUUUGUGGACACUCUUCAGGUCACAAUUAUUAUCCGAUAUAUAUUGUCGUCGCUCCUGUCCGUCCGGACGUCCACAAUUUGUUUGUGGACACUCUACAGGUCACAAUUGACGAAACUUUAAAUAUAGGUAUAUCUCCAAAAGAUCUCGAUUCUUUUCGAUAUUGGCAUGUAUCGGAUCGAAACUUCAUAGAUUAUGGCCCCUGAUUGUCCGAAAAAUCACGUUGUUAGCUUGUGGACACUCCAGAGGUCACAAUAUUCAUCUGAUUUUGAUGAAACUUGCAAUGCAUGUUUAUGACCCAAAAAUCUUGGCUCCUGUCGAUAUUCACGCAUAUCGGAGAGUAAGUUCCUGGUUUAUGACCCCUGAUUAUACGAAAAAUCACGUUUUUAGUCCGUGGUCCCUCUAGAGGUCACAAUUAUUAUCCGAUUUAAAAAAGCAUUCUAGUAUAUCACCGUUACAACCCUAAUUUUGGUUGAGUACGAAUUUCGUGAAAAUCGGACCCAAACAGUGUAAAAAUAUGGUAUAUCAAGGUUGUUGACCCUCUAGAGGUCACACUUUUGAUCCGAUUUUAAUGGGACUUGAAUACAUUUUUAUAACCCAAAGAUCUGGGUUCCUUUUUAUAUUCGCGCAUAUCGGAUCACAACUUCUUGAAUUAUGGCCCUUGAUUGUACGAAAAUUAUCGCGUUAUUAGCUUGUGAUCCAUCUAGAGGUCACAAUUAUUUUCCGAUUAAAAAAAAAAACCGCUUUAAUAUUUCACCGUUACACCGUAAUGUCGGUUGAGUUCGAAUUUUGUUAUAAUCGGACCAAAACUGCGGGACAAAAUGGCCGCCCCUUGUACGCAAAUAGUGUAAAAAAAAUAUGGUAUAUCAAGGUUGUGGGCCCUCUAGAGGGUUUAUAACCCAAAGAUCUCGGUUUCUUUCCAUAUUUGCGCAUAUUGGUCUGUAAGUUCCUGGAUUAUGGCUCCUGAUUGUACAAAAAGUCAUAUUAUUUUUUUUAGCCCUAUCUCUGUCCAUCUCUUGCAAAAUGUGGGCGUAUCUUGCAUGGCAACCGCUUGUUAAAGUAAGGUGCUUAGAUACGUCAAAGUAUUUCAUUGCUCGCAAAAUAUUUCUUUUUCAACCAAGAUGAUUUUUAGUGAACAGUAUAAGAAGUAUAAAUUAUAUUUAUCUUGUUUAA